rnacentral:rRNA from 1 species
GUGGGGAAUCUUAGACAAUGGGGGAAACCCUGAUCUAGCCAUGCCGCGUGAGCGAUGAAGGCCUUAGGGUUGUAAAGCUCUUUCAGCUGGGAAGAUAAUGACGGUACCAGCAGAAGAAGCCCCGGCUAACUCCGUGCCAGCAGCCGCGGUAAUACGGAGGGGGCUAGCGUUGUUCGGAAUUACUGGGCGUAAAGCGCGCGUAGGCGGACCAGAAAGUUGAAGGUGAAAUCCCAGGGCUCAACCUUGGAACUGCCUUCAAAACUCCUGGUCUGGAGUUCGAGAGAGGUGAGUGGAAUUCCGAGUGUAGAGGUGAAAUUCGUAGAUAUUCGGAGGAACACCAGUGGCGAAGGCGGCUCACUGGCUCGAUACUGACGCUGAGGUGCGAAAGCGUGGGGAGCAAACAGGAUUAGAUACCCCAGUAGUCC